UGAGCCAGUUUAUAACUCUGCAGCUAACGAUAGAGUCACGUCAACGGGACACAAUCAUUUAAAUUGAACACAGCAAUUAAACAGUUCUUAACUACAAAAAACCGUAAAGCUAGACAGAGUAUGUCCCAAAUUAUAACAUAGGAGACACAAGUACUAGCCAAUAGCCAUGACUCAUAAUAAUACGACGACGAGAUUGACGACCUUCACAAUAGGAAUAUUAAAACAAAGUAAUAACAAUAGAUUGGGCUGAUGUUACCGAAUUCAAACAGUGACAUAAAACGAGACUGAAAAUAAAGUAUGGGCGGUUCGUCUACAGGCGGCUGUAGCUCGAAGGACGGCGCCCCCGGGGUCGGCGGCGGCGAGUGCACCGGUGGCGGCG